GCACGAGUUCAGACUCGUAGCAUAUAGCUCAGUAACACGUGGCCAAACUACCCUACAGACCGCGAUAACCUCGGGAAACUGAGGCCAAUAGCGGAUAUAACUCUCAGACUGGAGUGUCGAGAGUUAGAAACGUUCCGGCGCUGUAGGAUGUGGCUGCGGCCGAUUAGGUAGAUGGUGGGGUAACGGCCCACCAUGCCGAUAAUCGGUACAGGUUGUGAGAGCAAGAGCCUGGAGACGGUAUCUGAGACAAGAUACCGGGCCCUACGGGGCGCAGCAGGCGCGAAACCUUUACACUGCACGACAGUGCGAUAGGGGGACUCCGAGUGUGAGGGCAUAUAGCCCUCGCUUUUCUGUACCGUAAGGUGGUACAGGAACAAGGACUGGGCAAGACCGGUGCCAGCCGCCGCGGUAAUACCGGCAGUCCGAGUGAUGGCCGAUAUUAUUGGGCCUAAAGCGUCCGUAGCUUGCUGUGUAAGUCCAUUGGGAAAUCGACCAGCUCAACUGGUCGGCGUCCGGUGGAAACUACACAGCUUGGGGCCGAGAGACUCAACGGGUACGUCCGGGGUAGGAGUGAAAUCCUGUAAUCCUGGACGGACCACCAAUGGGGAAACCACGUUGAGAGACCGGACCCGACAGUGAGGGACGAAAGCCAGGGUCUCGAACCGGAUUAGAUACCCGGGUAGUCCUGGCUGUAAACAAUGCUCGCUAGGUAUGUCACGCGCCAUGAGCACGUGAUGUGCCGUAGUGAAGA
rnacentral:rRNA from 1 species